rnacentral:rRNA from 1 species
CAGUAGCCACGGUAAUACGGAGGGGGCUAGCGUUGUUCGGAAUUACUGGGCGUAAAGCGCACGUAGGCGGCUUGGUAAGUUAGAGGUGAAAGCCUGGAGCUCAACUCCAGAAUUGCCUUUAAGACUGCCGAGCUAGCAGGUGAGAGAGGUAAGUGGAAUUCCGAGUGUAGAGGUGAAAUUCGUAGAUAUUCGGAAGAACACCAGUGGCGAAGGCGGCUUACUGGCUCAUACUGGACGCUGAGAUGCGAAAGCGUGGGGAGCAAACAGGAUUAGAUACCCCUGUAGUCCCUGUCUCUUAUAC